rnacentral:rRNA from 1 species
AUUGAACGCUGGCGGCAGGACUAACACAUGCAAGUCGAGCGAGCGUCUGACGGGUGAGUAAUGUAUGGGGCCUGCCCGAUAGAGGGGGAUAACUCCUGGUAACGGUGGCUAAUACCGCAUACUAUCGGAUAACCCAUAUGGGAUUAGCUAGUAGGUGGGGUAAAGGCUCACCUAGGCGACGAUCUCUAGCUGGUCUGAGAGGAUGACAAGCCACACUGGGACUGAGACACGGGCCAGACUCCUACGGAGGCAGCAGUGGGGAAUAUUGCGCAAUGGGGGCAAGCCGGACGCAGCCAUGCCGCGUGAAUGAAGAAGGCCUUCGGGUUGUAAAGUUCUUUCGGUAGCGAGGCGUUAACGACAGAAGAAGCACCGGCAAACUCCGUGCCAGCAGCCGCGGUAAUAC